rfam:Fukomys damarensis contig99329, whole genome shotgun sequence.
AUCCUUCUGUGGCCCAUAAGCACGAUGAUGGGGUUUUCAUAUUAUUGUGAGAUGUUCUUCCCUCCAAACUAUUACAGUGCACCUCACCCAUCUGACU